rnacentral:tRNA from 1 species
GGGCCCGUCGUCUAGCCUGGUUAGGACGCCGCCCUUACGAGGCGGAGGUCCGGGGUUCGAGUCCCCGCGGGCCCACCA